AACGAACGCUGGCGGCAGGCUUAACACAUGCAAGUCGAACGCCCCGCAAGGGGAGUGGCAGACGGGUGAGUAACGCGUGGGAAUCUACCCAGUUCUACGGAACAACACAGGGAAACUUGUGCUAAUACCGUAUACGCCCUACGGGGGAAAGAUUUAUCGGAAUUGGAUGAGCCCGCGUUAGAUUAGCUAGUUGGUGGGGUAAUGGCCUACCAAGGCGACGAUCUAUAGCUGGUCUGAGAGGAUGAUCAGCCACACUGGGACUGAGACACGGCCCAGACUCCUACGGGAGGCAGCAGUGGGGAAUAUUGGACAAUGGGCGCAAGCCUGAUCCAGCCAUGCCGCGUGAGUGAUGAAGGCCUUAGGGUUGUAAAGCUCUUUCAGUGGGGACGAUAAUGACGGUACCCACAGAAGAAGCCCCGGCUAACUUCGUGCCAGCAGCCGCAGUAACAC
rnacentral:rRNA from 1 species